rnacentral:pre_miRNA from 1 species
CGAAGGUGAAAGACCUGUUGGUAGUGAGACGAUGAAAUUUAAUCCUUUCGUAUCACUACCCAGGCUUUCGCCCUUGC